CCUUAAGGCCGCCCCACAUUCAGCGUUUUCCCGGCGUUUUCUGGCGUUUUGUCACCCGGCGUCGCUCGGCGUCGACGCUGAGGCUGGCGCCAAGCCAAAACGUCGUGCUCAAGGGACACCAGAUCUCGCCGCCGCCGUCGGAAGCGGCUCGACAGCGCCGACCAAUCAGCGUGUGGCAGGGCGCGGCCGCGCUGCUGGCAACUCUUGCAAGAGACUUCCGCAGAUUCGCAGUUCGCGCCGCCAUUGCUGUUUGUUUGGUUGCUUCAAUCAUGCUACCGGCGAACAUCGAUAACGAGCUUCUUAUAGCAAUUGUAGAAGCAAGGCCGAUAUUGUAGCAGACCAAACACAAGGAACACAAGAAUCGUGUUGAAAAAAACGUUUUGUGGAUUGAAGUCGCCGCCAUCGUCCUGCCGGGUGUACCAAAUGCUGAGAAUAUUGUGCAGACCCGAUGGAAAUCCCUGCGGGAUAAGUUCCGCCGCUUGCUUAUGGCAAUGAAGAAAGAACAAAAGAGUGGAGCCGGUGCGGAGGAGACGGAUGCAACAGAGCACGUGGCUUGGCCAUAUUUCGAACUGCUAAUGUUCUUAAAAGACAGUGUUGAAGGAAGGCCAACAUCUGGCAACAUGAAAACGGCCGAACAACUGCUGCUUGACAUCAGCAGCCAAGGCAGCUGCAGCGAUAUAGAUGCUGUGUCAGUGACAUCCGAGUGCACACAAGAUGUGCCACUGACACCGGCAUCCGGCACAGCAGAGGACACAAUCUCGGCCGAGAGCACACCGAACGAGCCAACCUGUACACCCAUCCAGCCACAACAAAAAAUAAACGAAAUAGGGACAUGUAUGAAAAGGAGCUACAGAAUGUCGCUAACCAACUCAAUAAUUACAAACCAAGAGAUAUGGACGAACAUUUCGCCCUCGCGUUGUUGGAACACAUGCGAACUGUAAGGCCGGAAAAGAAGAUUGACCUGCAGCUGAAGCUGCUGCAGGUUGUAAAA
rnacentral:lncRNA from 1 species